AACCUUUACACUGCACGCGAGUGCGAUAAGGGGACUCCAAGUGCGAGGGCAUAUAGUCCUCGCUUUUCACGACCGUAAGGUGGUCGUAGAAUAAGUGCUGGGCAAGACCGGUGCCAGCCGCCGCGGUAAUACCGGCAGCACGAGUGAUGACCGCUAUUAUUGGGCCUAAAGCGUCCGUAGCUGGCCGUGCAAGUCCAUCGGGAAAUCCGCGCGCUUAACGCGCGGGCGUCCGGUGGAAACUGCACGGCUUGGGACCGGAGGACCAGAGGGGUACGUCCGGGGUAGGAGUGAAAUCCCGUAAUCCUGGACGGACCACCGGUGGCGAAAGCGCCUCUGGAAGACGGAUCCGACGGUGAGGGACGAAAGCUCGGGUCACGAACCGGAUUAGAUACCCGGGUAGUCCGAGCUGUAAACGAUGUCUGCUAGGUGUGGCACAGGCUACGAGCCUGUGCUGUGCCGUAGGGAAGCCGUGAAGCAGACCGCCUGGGAAGUACGUCCGCAAGGAUGAAACUUAAAGGAAUUGGCGGGGGAGCAC
rnacentral:rRNA from 1 species